rnacentral:rRNA from 1 species
GAUGAACGCUGGCGGCGUGCCUAAUACAUGCAAGUCGAGCGAAUGGAUUAAGAGCUUGCUCUUAUGAAGUUAGCGGCGGACGGGUGAGUAACACGUGGGUAACCUGCCCAUAAGACUGGGAUAACUCCGGGAAACCGGGGCUAAUACCGGAUAACAUUUUGAACCGCAGCGUUCGAAAUUGAAAGGCGGCUUCGGAUGUCACUUAUGGAUGGACCGGCGGCGCAUUAGCUAGUUGGUGAGGUAACGGCUCACCAAGGCAACGAUGCGUAGCCGACCUGAGAGGGUGAUCGGCCACACUGGGACUGAGACACGGCCCAGACUCCUACGGGAGGCAGCAGUAGGGAAUCUUCCGCAAUGGACGAAAGUCUGACGGAGCAACGCCGCGUGAGUGAUGAAGGCUUUCGGGUCGUAAAACUCUGUUGUUAGGGAAGAACAAGUGCUAGUUGAAUAAGCUGGCACCUUGACGGUACCUAACCAGAAAGCCACGGCUAACUACGUGCCAGCAGCCGCGGUAA